GAUCAUGGCUCAGGAUUAACGCUGGCGGCGUGCCUAACACAUGCAAGUCGAACGAAAUAUCUUCGGAUAUUUAGUGGCGAACGGGUGAGUAAUGUACAGGUAAUGUACCUUCGUACUGCGAAUAACAAGCUGAAAAGUUUGCUAAUACGGAAUAGUUUCCUUCGAGGGCAUCCUUAAAGGAAUAAAGAUUUAUCGUGCGGAGAUCAGCCUGUAUCCUAUUAGUUAGUUGGUGGGGUAAUGGCCUACCAAGACGACGAUGGGUAACUGGUCUGAGAGGAUGAGCAGUCACAUUGGAACUGAGAACGGUCCAAACUCCUACGGGAGGCAGCAGUGAGGAAUUUUGCGCAAUGGGGGAAACCCUGACGCCAGCAACGCCGCGUGAGUGACGACGGCCUUCGGGUUGUAAAGCUCUGUCGUGUGUGACGAGUAGGGACGGUAACACACAAGGAAGCCUCGGCUAACUACGUGCCAGCCGCCGC
rnacentral:rRNA from 1 species